CGACCUGCACCUGAAAAAUACAACAUUGUAUGGAAUGAGAACCGGGGGUUCUCAGUAUGGUAAAGGUGUCACACACAUAUGAUAUAAGGUCCUGGGAAUGCCAGAGGUAAUUCUAGAACCCCGACACUCAUAUUAUAGAGCUUAAAGAAUUAAAUAGAAGCCAUAAAAGGUGGUUUACUAA